CUCCAAACAGCAUCUCACCACCUGCAGACAAGUCCGUCGCAGUUUUCAGGUUUUGUUCCAGGAAAUGAAACAUCAAACACCAACCAGGUCUUGCUUCCUCUCAAAGAGAAUUUACCAAAGACCCGCUGGGAAAGGAGAGGUAACAAUCAUAGCGACAACAAGGACUGCUGUUUUCAGUUUUACGGGCUACAGCUGCUGCUUUACCUUUGGCUGCUCCCAAAUUUCUUUUUUCGGUCCAUGUGAGGUUAGGUUUACAUUGAAGAAUUGUGCUAUUAAAGAUAAUGAACCCGACAGAUUGGUUAUGGCAAAGGAAACAAGAUGAAGCUCAAUGGUAGGGAACUAGCAUUGAUGACCGAAGUUCCAAGCCAACUAACUAUAGUAUUCAAGCAGAAGGAUAGGAAAAGCCUUAGGGCCACAAACCUUAGUAGGAUCAAUGAUACCA
rnacentral:misc_RNA from 1 species